rnacentral:rRNA from 1 species
GAGCACCUACGGGGCGCAGCAGUGGGGAAUAUUGCACAAUGGGGGAAACCCCGAUGCAGCAACGCCGCGUGAAGGAAGACGGUUUUCGGAUUGUAAACUUCUGUUCUUAGUGAAGAAUAAUGACGGUAGCUAAGGAGCAAGCCACGGCUAACUACGUGCCAGCAGCCGCGGUAAUACGUAGGGGGCAAGCGUUAUCCGGAUUUACUGGGUGUAAAGGGAGCGUAGACGGCGUGCCAAGUCUGAUGUGAAAGGCCGGGGCUCAACCCCGGGACUGCAUUGGAAACUGGCAUGCUGGAGUGCCGGAG